rnacentral:rRNA from 1 species
UACGUAGGGAGCGAGCGUUGUCCGGAUUCAUUGGGCGUAAAGAGCUCGUAGGCGGCUUGGCAAGUCGGGUGUGAAAACUCCAGCUCAACCUGGAGACGCCACCCGAUACCUGCCAUGGCUAGAGUCCGGUAGGGGGACCACGGAAUUCCUGGUGUAGCGGUGAAAUGCGCAGAUAUCAGGAGGAACACCGGUGCGAAGGCGGUG